UCAUCUCUUCCUUGGCUACUUUUCUGUUCGAAGUAUCUGACUCUUUUGCUUAUAUGAUUUUAGUUAUUUGAGUUAGGUCAGGACCGCAUGUUCAACAAAAUCGCAUAAGUUGGUCGUGUUGGAUGUGGCCCAUGUGAUUUAUUUAAGACGAUCUAUAAAUAUACAGUCGGUCUAGUUAUGUCAAUCUAUAAAGAUACGGAAGAUCUAACGGUUAGGAUGUAUCUGGAAACGUUUUUGAUGGGCGGACGCGAUUUAACAUCCUUACAUUAAGUUAUAUAUGUAUUUUAGUUUCUAAUAAAGUUUCAACACGUAGGUCUAAAAACA
rnacentral:lncRNA from 1 species